rnacentral:rRNA from 1 species
GACGAACGCUGGCGGCGUGCUUAACACAUGCAAGUCGAACGGUGAAGCGCCUUCCUUUUUGGUGGGUGUGGAUGAGUGGCGAACGGGUGAGUAACACGUGAGUAACCUGCCCCCUUCUUCUGGAUAACCGCAUGAAAGUGUGGCUAAUACGGGAUAUUCUGGGUCUGUCGCAUGAUGGGUCUGGGAAAGAUAUUGUUUCGGUGGGGGAUGGGCUCGCGGCCUAUCAGCUUGUUGGUGGGGUGAUGGCCUACCAAGGCGGUGACGGGUAGCCGGCCUGAGAGGGUGGACGGUCACACUGGGACUGAGACACGGCCCAGACUCCUACGGGAGGCAGCAGUGGGGAAUAUUGCACAAUGGGCGCAAGCCCGAUGCAGCGACGCCGCGGGAGGGGUGGAGGCCUUCGGGUUGUGAACCUCUUUCGCCAGUGAAGCAGGCCUGCCUCGUUUGUGGGUGGGUUGACGGUAGCUGGAUAAGAAGCGCCGGCUAACUACGUG